AGUGGAUGGGGAGCAACCUAGUUGUGCGUGUGUAAAGGUAGUGCCAAGAAAAGCGGUGAUCAUGAUGAAAAUCAAUUCCCGGUACCCGAAACCGACACAGGUGGGCAAGUAGAGAAUACUAAGGGGCGCGAGGUAACUCUCUCCAAGGAACUCGGCAAAAUGACCCCGUAACUUAGGGAGAAGGGGUGCCACCGAGAGGUGGUCGCAGUGAAGAGGCCCAGGCGACUGUUUAGCAAAAACAUAGGUCUCUGCAAACUCGAAAGAGGAGGUAUAGGGGCUGACGCCUGCCCAGUGCCGGAAGGUUAAAGAAGUUGGUCAGUCUUAGGAUGAAGCUAGCGACUGAAGCCCCGGUGAACGGCGGCCGUAACUAUAACGGUCCUAAGGUAGCAAAAUUCCUUGUCGGGUAAGUUCCGACCCGCACGAAAGGCGUAACGAUCUGGGCGCUGUCUCGGAGAGAGGCUCGGCGAAAUAGGAUUGUCUGUGAAGAUACGGACUACCUGCAUUUGGACAGAAAGACCCUAUGAAGCUUUACUAUAGCUUGGAAUUGUGUUCGGGCUUCCUGUGCGCAGGAUAGGUGGGAGGCGUAGAAGGUAUUCUUGUGGGGAUACUGGAGCCAACGGUGAGAUACCACUCUCAGGAGGCUAGAAUUCUAACUUAAUUAAGGACAGUUUCAGGUGGGUAGUUUGACUGGGGCGGUCGCCUCCAAAAAGGUAACGGAGGCGUACAAAGGUUCCCUCAGACUGGUUGGAAAUCAGUCGAAGAGUGCAAAGGCAGAAGGGAGCUUGACUGCGAGAAGUACAGUUCGAGCAGGGUGGAAACACGGUCUUAGUGAUCCGACGGUGCUGUGUGGAAGGGCCGUCGCUCAACGGAUAAAAGUUACUCUAGGAUAACAGGCUGAUCUCCCCCAAGAGUUCACAUCGACGGGGAGGUUUGGCACCUCGAUGUCGGCUCAUCGCAACCUGGGGCGGAAGUACGUCCCAAGGGUUGGGCUGUUCGCCCAUUAAAGCGGUACGUGAGCUGGGUUCAGAACGUCGUGAGACAGUUCGGUCCAUAUCCGAUGUAGGCGUGAGAAUAUUGAGAGGAGCCUUCCUUAGUACGAGAGGACCGGGAAGGACGCACCGCUGGUGUACCUGUUAUGAUGCCAAUUGUAAACGCAGGGUAGCCAAGUGCGGAGAGGAUAACCGCUGAAAGCAUCUAAGUGGGAAGCCCACCUCAAGAUGAGUAUUCUGGUGUAAGGUCACGGGAAGACGACCCGUAAAUAGGCACGAGGUGGAAGUGCAGAGAUGUAUGAAGCCGAAGUGUACUAAUAGACCGUCGGCUUGACC
rnacentral:rRNA from 1 species